AUCCAGCAUACUAACCUCCCAACCCGCUUCUUUUCAAAGGGAAUUGGGAUUUGUAAACUUAAGAAGCGCAGUGCUGACAGAAAGUUCUUAGGACCUUUAUCAUAAACUCAAAAGCUUAUGAAUAGCGCCUCAGCCCUUUAUCAAUUUCCAGUGCCACCCCUCUCUCCACCACUGGUAAAUUUCUUUCCCUCUUUCCCUAAUCUUUUUAAAAUUCCUCUUUCUACUUCGGUAGAAAGAGAGGAAAGACAGCUAGCCAAAGGCAAUGGGAAGGGCUAGGGAGACUGGCUCUUCGAGGCCGGGGAGGCAGCGCCCGGACUGCUAGAGCUGGACAGGCCUCUCCACUAGCGAAGAGGGGUGGAGCCCGGAGCAGGGCCGCCUCUCUUCUUUUCCCGGGGCCUGGGCGGAGAGGGAGGAAAACUUCCUGGCUGGGACUCUGGCGGUUUCUGCCUGCCAACCCUCCGAUCCCGCCUACCAGCGUUGGCUCUUCCCGACCCCUCCCCCGGCGCCCCCAGUGUCCGCCAUGGCCAAAGCCUACGACCACCUCUUCAAGUUGCUGCUGAUCGGGGACUCGGGGGUGGGCAAGACUUGUCUCAUCAUUCGCUUUGCAGAGGACAACUUCAACAGCACUUACAUCUCCACCAUCGGAAUUGAUUUCAAGAUCCGAACUGUGGAAAUAGAGGGGAAGAGAAUCAAACUGCAAGUCUGGGACACAGCUGGCCAAGAACGAUUCAAGACAAUAACCACCGCCUAUUACCGUGGAGCCAUGGGCAUUAUCCUAGUAUAUGACAUCACAGAUGAGAAAUCCUUCGAGAAUAUUCAGAACUGGAUGAAAAGCAUCAAAGAGAACGCGUCUGCUGGAGUGGAGCGCCUUCUGCUGGGGAACAAAUGUGACAUGGAAGCCAAGCGGAAGGUGCAGAGAGAGCAGGCUGAGAGGCUCUCUCCUUCCUACCUCAUCCCCUACAGUUGGCCCGAGAGCACAGAAUCCGAUUUUUUGAGACAAGUGCCAAAUCCAGUGUGAAUGUGGAUGAGGCUUUCAGUUCCCUGGCCCGUGACAUCUUGCUCAAGACAGGAGGCCGGAGAUCGGGAAACAGCAGCAAGCCCUCAAGCACUGAC